rnacentral:tRNA from 2 species
AAGAAAGUGGCAGAAAGGUUAUGCACCUGGCUUGAAACCAGUUUAAGGGGGUUCGAGUCCUUCUUUUCUUG